AUUGUAUGGUGAGCACACAGCCUCUCUCAAGGAAGGUUUUUAUCCAUCCAGGUGUGGGCCAUUCACGUUAGCCACCAUAUCUUCAGUGACUCAUAGCAUAGAUGUGAGAUGGGGAUAUGGGGAAUUAGUAAUACAUGCUUACCUUUGGAGACAUGUUCACUGAGGAGUUCCACUGCUCUCCAGAAACAAUUAGGUCCCUGCCCAGUCGGUUCCUUUUUGUUGUUUUCAUAGGUGAACAGCUCCCGGAGAAAGCAAUAGGGGCAUCCUCCAUCUCUGUUUCCGUAGCAUCAUUAAGAACUGAAAUGAGAACAUAAAUAAAUCCAAAAUGUGAAGUAAGCUUUAAUGAUGUCUGGAUCUUUGGCCAGCUUUGGAUUGGCAAAAUCACUUUUUAUAGACUUUCCCCUGCUAUUUCCCCGAGUGUUAAAAUUAUUUAUUGUAACUUGGGGAGGCGGGUAGUUGUAAUGGCUACAGCAAUCUGUCAGAGCUUUCUUCACCAUCAAACAUGGGCCUUCGGGGGAUUGAUGUUUGCUAAUAGGUUUAAUGAGUUUUACAAGAAGUUUUUGCUUUAAAAAGGGGGUGCAUUCAUUGCUUUGAAUAUCAGGAUAAUAACCAUAGAAAGAGAAGCACAUCCAUGUGGAAAUGUAGCUUUUUAACAUAAGGAUUUAAACCUUCUGAUCGCUGCAAGUUCCAUGUUUUCUAUUCUUGGUAUCUCUGUCUAACCUCUGAGAUGCAUUCAUUUGUUUAUUACUCCAAGUACUUAGGAUGCCGCUUUUCAGGAUGAAGCCUUCUCAAG
rnacentral:lncRNA from 1 species